rnacentral:rRNA from 1 species
AAAAGCCUCUAAGCAUCAGGUAACAUCAAAUCGUACCCCAAACCGACACAGGUGGUCAGGUAGAGAAUACCAAGGCGCUUGAGAGAACUCGGGUGAAGGAACUAGGCAAAAUGGUGCCGUAACUUCGGGAGAAGGCACGCUGAUAUGUAGGUGAAGUCCCUCGCGGAUGGAGCUGAAAUCAGUCGAAGAUACCAGCUGGCUGCAACUGUUUAUUAAAAACACAGCACUGUGCAAACACGAAAGUGGACGUAUACGGUGUGACGCCUGCCCGGUGCCGGAAGGUUAAUUGAUGGGGUCAGCGCAAGCGAAGCUCUUGAUCGAAGCCCCGGUAAACGGCGGCCGUAACUAUAACGGUCCUAAGGUAGCGAAAUUCCUUGUCGGGUAAGUUCCGACCUGCACGAAUGGCGUAAUGAUGGCCAGGCUGUCUCCACCCGAGACUCAGUGAAAUUGAACUCGCUGUGAAGAUGCAGUGUACCCGCGGCAAGACGGAAAGACCCCGUGAACCUUUACUAUAGCUUGACACUGAACAUUGAGCCUUGAUGUGUAGGAUAGGUGGGAGGCUUUGAAGUGUGGACGCCAGUCUGCAUGGAGCCGACCUUGAAAUACCACCCUUUAAUGUUUGAUGUUCUAACGUGGACCCGUGAUCCGGGUUGCGGACAGUGUCUGGUGGGUAGUUUGACUGGGGCGGUCUCCUCCUAAAGAGUAACGGAGGAGCACGAAGGUUGGCUAAUCCUGGUCGGACAUCAGGAGGUUAGUGCAAUGGCAUAAGCCAGCUUGACUGCGAGCGUGACGGCGCGAGCAGGUGCGAAAGCAGGUCAUAGUGAUCCGGUGGUUCUGAAUGGAAGGGCCAUCGCUCAACGGAUAAAAGGUACUCCGGGGAUAACAGGCUGAUACCGCCCAAGAGUUCAUAUCGACGGCGGUGUUUGGCACCUCGAUGUCGGCUCAUCACAUCCUGGGGCUGAAGUAGGUCCCAAGGGUAUGGCUGUUCGCCAUUUAAAGUGGUACGCGAGCUGGGUUUAGAACGUCGUGAGACAGUUCGGUCCCUAUCUGCCGUGGGCGCUGGAGAACUGAGGGGGGCUGCUCCUAGUACGAGAGGACCGGAGUGGACGCAUCACUGGUGUUCGGGUUGUCAUGCCAAUGGCACUGCCCGGUAGCUAAAUGCGGAAGAGAUAAGUGCUGAAAGCAUCUAAGCACGAAACUUGCCCCGAGAUGAGUUCUCCCUGACCCUUUAAGGGUCCUGAAGGAACGUUGAAGACGACGACGUUGAUAGGCCGGGUGUGUAAGCGCAGCGAUGCGUUGAGCUAACCGGUACUAAUGAACCGUGAGGCUUAACCUUACAACGCCGAAGGUGUUU